UACAGAGGUCCCAAGCGUUGUUCGGAUUCAUUGGGCGUAAAGGGUGUGUAGGUGGCGCCGUAAGUCGGGUGUGAAAUCUCGGGGCUUAACUCCGAAACUGCAUUCGAUACUGCGGUGCUUGAGGACUGGAGAGGAGACUGGAAUUCAUGGUGUAGCAGUGAAAUGCGUAGAGAUCAUGAGGAAGACCAGUGGCGAAGGCGGGUCUCUGGACAGUUCCUGACACUGAAGCACGAAGGCCAGGGGAGCAAACGGG
rnacentral:rRNA from 1 species